CGCCAUUUUGCAUAAAAGCGGAAAUCCUCUUCGGAUUUCUCUCAGGGAAAACAGGUGCUAACGGAGAGGUCUUUGACUCAAGCACAAACCAUCUUGGGAGCAGCUGUGUCUGUCUUUGUCCACAGAGCUUGGGAAGUGAAAAUUACACCCAGCCCAGCAUGCAAGCGAUGCAUUCUUAGCAAUGACAGCAGGAGGGACAUCCAGGGUCUGUGGAUAAAAUGACAGAAGCCCAUUAUGAUUGAUAAGCCUUGCUUAAGCUCAAGCAGGUAACAGGUGCAAAGUUUGGAGACAAGAGCCUCAGAGAUCCUACUAAAGGCAGCUCAUUUAUUUACCGUGUAAUAAAGAAUUUCGCUUUGCCCAAAGGGAGGUCUGGCUUUCACUGUUGGACUGUGGGCUUC